rnacentral:rRNA from 1 species
AUGGAUAGCUUGUUGGAACUGUAUAAUCUGUGGCAAAUCCAGUUGAUUGUGCUUCUUAGCUUCGUUCUACAAGUGUUCCUCUUCUUCACUGGUAGCCUUCGACAGGGUAGCACCAAUGGGUUGCUUAGGGGCACCAUUUGGCUAGCAUAUCUGGGAGCAGACAUGGUAGCAAUUUAUGCCCUAGGGUACCUCUCAAGACAUCAGGAUAAUGGCACAAUGGAAACCCACCCAUUGGUUUUCUUUUGGACUCCUUUCCUCCUCAUUCAUCUCGGUGGGCAGGAUACCAUCACUGCUUUCUCCAUGGAGGACAACAAAUUGUGGUUGAGGCAUUUGCUGAACUUGGUCCUAGAGGUUAGCCUGGCCUUGUAUGUAUUCUGGAAAUCGACUAGCUUGCGCAAUAAUGUGCAGCUUCUUGUUCCUGCUCUUCUCUUGUUCAUUGCCGGAAUAAUCAAGUAUGGAGAGCGAACAAUGGCUCUCAUGUACGCGAGUCAGAAUGACAAUAGGAAACCUGGUUUUAAACUUAAUGAUCAAGAGAGGAUUUUACAACGGGUCAAGAGUGAUAAAGAUCAUGAGCUUGUUUAUUAUGCUUUAGUUUCAGACCAGAGCGUCCAGUAUGAGUACUUCCAAAGGCGUACGGCGAGUUACAAAAUAGGAGAAAAACCCAGUAAUCUCGACCCAGCUGGACUUAAUGACAGUGGCCUUGUGGCCAAGCUGUUGGAUGUACAGCUCAGCCUCUUGUACAAUGAUAUAUACACCAAGGCUACUUUACUUCGAACAAGGAGUGGUAUUUUAGUACGUUUAAUCUCUCAGUUGUCCACUGUUGUUGCCCUUGUGAUCUUUGGUGUCAUGGGCAAGAAACAAGCAGCAAGCAGGUUGUAUGGUAAGGCUGACAUUGUCAUCACCUACAUCCUAUUUAUCGGAGGAAUUCUUUUAGAAAUUUGUGCUGUGUUUACUGUGUUGAUGGCUUCACCUUGGACAUGGUUGUGGCUGGAGGAUCGAAGGUACGGUAGGCUGGCUAGGAUUUCAUGGUCUCUUACUAGAUUAUCAGUGACAAGGCCGAAAUGGUCAGGAAAAAUUGGGCAGUAUAGCUGUGUAAACUACAUGGGCAUCAAAGAUGAGUCAGCUACAUUGUCCCAAAAGGUGAUGAGUCUGAUGAGGAAGGCGGCGACAGCAAUCGGCGUUAAAGAUGUAAGGAAGAAGCUGUUUUGGGUGAGCAAGCGGCUAGAUUGCAGGUACGAGACUGUGGACAACAAGCUCAUGGAGUGUGUCCUGAGGGAGAUACGAACCAUCAUAUCUGAGUAUGAUGAGGAUGAUGAUGACCAACAGCCUCGGCAGUGGCCACAUAUGAUGCCGUUUCUGAAGAAGCUAGGAUCGACAUUUGUCACGGCGUUUCUCUCUGCCGUAUGUCAGCUGCACAUUGUCACUGAGGUUAUCUUGGCGUCGACUAGUGCAGAUGACAUGAAAUCAUACAGCGCCGACGCAAUUGCGGCCGCCCAAAUGUGCAAGAAGCUGUCCAACUACAUGAUGUACCUUAUUACUGCCCACCCAGAUGCUGCUUCUUUGCUGCAGGUCACCUCUAUCAUCAGUCUCGAGCUUGCUCUAGACAUGCAUUUAACAGCCACUGCUACUACAUCGACUAGGAAGAAGAGCAAGGAUGAAAUUCUGCGUGCUACUGGAGAUGAUCUCAAGGCUAAUUAUGGCAAUUAUGAUUGUUUUCCAUGGUCAAUGGCGCAGCGAGAGGAGGUGAUCAAGGAGCUUGCCGGGAUUUGGGUGAGGCUUCUCAUCUACGCCGCCGGCAAGUCGAGGACGGAGCUUCACGCAGCGCAGCUGGCCAGAGGAGGGGAGCUACUCACCUUGGUCUGGCUGCUCAUGGCGCAGCAUGAUCUUGGGGAUGUCACGUUUAAUCGUGUCGAGCUAAAUGGCAGGCCUGAUGAUCCCGUCACAAAUUUGCAUGUGCUAUAUGCCUUCCAUGUCUAG